UGAGAUUCAACUACUCCAACUUCU
rnacentral:miRNA from 2 species